rnacentral:lncRNA from 10 species
CUGUACUGUUGGAUUUAACACCCACCCCGCUGAGGCAAGAGGGUCCUGGCUUAGAGAUGGCAAAGCCCGCCUUCUGGGCAGGGCAGAAGGUGGCUGUGCAGCCUCCUGGAGCUCCAGCAGGACCGGCAGAGCCCUGAGUCAGCCUCGUAAAUUGUGUGACAGGCAAGACCAGAAAGGGCUGAUGUUGAAACCUGGAGAGGAGCCCUGCAGGAGCUCUCCAGGAGGGAGGGCCCUCUCCUAAUGAUGCUGGCCUGAAAGGGCCUGAGGCCGAAAGGUGAGGGGGCGGGGCUGUUCAGGACACCUGGUCUGUGUACUCACGGCCUCUAUCUACCCUGUUCAGGGGAACCCCAAACCUGCUUUUCUUUCUUUCUCAGCCUCUCCUCCCUCCUCACACCCUGGAUGCUGAGAGCAGGGCCCAGCUCUGCUCUUUCCACAACAUUUGGGCCAUGUUGGCACAGAGCGGGGGCCUCUUGGGCUAUGGUGGCCACACUCCCCGGGCUAACUGAGUUACCUGAUUCCCAGCGGAAAGGUCAGGAAGGGAGGGAAGAAACUUGCUGAGCUACAAAUUCGAGACUGCUGGGGCUUUCUAGGACAGGCCACCUUCCUGCAAUUGUCCCUCUGUGUCCCCAACUCCCCGCAGUCCCGCAGGCCAGGAGGUGGGUGCCUGAUGAGCGGUGCUUCCCUCAGAUGAUAUGUGGGCACCCUGAAGCUCUCACGUAAUGGUUCUGCUGUGCCGGGUUGUGACCCAGCUGUCCUUGGUAGGCUCUCCUGUUUAAUGAGCAACUGCUAUAUGCCAGGCCCUGUUCUAGAAACAGAUGAGGCCCCUGUUCCCAUGGAACUUAGAUCUGAGUAUGUGGACAGAGUGAGUAGGUUGCCAGAUAAUGUCAGAGGUAAGAAAAAAGCCAGGCAGAGGACAGCAGUGCUGGUUUAGACAAGGGUUGGCAAGGCCUCCCUGAUAAGGGGACGUAUUUGCGCAGACACGGAAGCAGUCUGAUGGAAGGCUUGCCCUGUAGGGACCUGGGGUGCAGACUGAGCUGGGAGGGCUCUUGGCUUGCUCCAAUGAGGUAGGGGCGAAGAGAGGGCAGAAUGGCCCCCGUGCUGGUCCAGAUGUGGCCAGCGCCAGAUCGUAUAGAGCCGUGGAGGCACGGUAAGGACUUGGGGUUUGAGGGAGAUGAGGGCCCUGAGCAGGGGUGCCAUGAUCUAGCCUCUGCUCCAGAAGGAUCUGUCUGGCUGCCAUGUGGGGGACACGGAGUGGAGCAAAGACGGGAGCCCAGUGAGAGUCGAGGGAGAGGUGACCUCAGCUUGGGCUGCGGUGCAGGCCAUGGGACUGGCAGGAGGUGGCUGGGGUUACGCUGUCUUUUCUAACAUUCAGCAUUGGCUCAGGGGCCAGGUCAGGGCUCACAGACUGUUGCUAUAAAGGGCUGGGUGGCUUUCUUCCCCACAGCUACUCAGCCUAAUGCCAUUGCAGAGCACAUGUAGCCAUGGACAACACAAGGGGCGUAUCCGUGUUCCAGGACAGCCAUAUUGACAGGAAUAGGCAGGAGGCCAGAUUUGGUCCUCAGGCUGUAAUUUCUUGGCCCCUUGUCUAGGGAGAGGUAAACGAGGGGAGGAGAGAUCAGUCAAGGAUGACGUGAGGGUUUGCUGGGAGCACCAGGAAUCCUGGAGAAGGUAGUGGCAAGAGGGUGCAGCAAGCUCAGCUGGGCGGGGAUCAAGUCUGAGGACUUAAUGUCUCCUCUGAUCUCCAGACCCAUAAGGGAGAUGCUGAGUAGACAACUGGGGCUUAUGGGUCUGGAGUUCAGAGGAGAGAUCGGGAAGGUGUCCAUUUGGAGUCAUCCACGCAGAGAUGUGUGAAGGCUGCUCAAUGAUUUUGAGGUUUAAAGAAAAAAAGAGAUGUGAAACCAGGGGCCCUGAUGAGGCUGCCCAGGUGGUAAGGAAGACAGAAGAGAAGCCAUGGGACAGCUGAGCCCGGGCACCCUCAAGCCUUGGAGGCAUGAAGUUUGGUGGGGAUCUGGCAAAGAACACCUGGGAGCAGCCAGCGGGCAGCAGACCCCAGAGUAGCAGGGAAGACAAGCACUUCAAAGAGGCAGCGUCAGCCAGGGGCAGUGGCUCAGCUGUAAUCCUAGCACUUUGGGAGGCCAAGGAUGGCAGAUCACCUGAGGUUAGGGGUUCGAGACUAGCCUGGCCAACAUGGUGAAACCCUGUCUCUACUAAAAAUAAAAAAUUAGCCAGGCAUUGGUGGUAUGUGCCUGUAAUCCCAGCUACUCGAGAGGCUGAGGCAGGAGAAUCUCUUGAACCCGGGAGGCAGAGGUUGCAGUGAGCCGAGAUCAUGCCAUUGCACUCCAGCCUGGGCAACAAGAGCGAAACUCCGUCUC